rnacentral:rRNA from 1 species
GGUUCGAUUCUGGCUCAGGAUGAACGCUAGCUACAGGCUUAACACAUGCAAGUCGAGGGGCAGCAUGGUCUUAGCUUGCUAAGGCCGAUGGCGACCGGCGCACGGGUGAGUAACACGUAUCCAACCUGCCGUCUACUCUUGGACAGCCUUCUGAAAGGAAGAUUAAUACAAGAUGGCAUCAUGAGUCCGCAUGUUCACAUGAUUAAAGGUAUUCCGGUAGACGAUGGGGAUGCGUUCCAUUAGAUAGUAGGCGGGGUAACGGCCCACCUAGUCUUCGAUGGAUAGGGGUUCUGAGAGGAAGGUCCCCCACAUUGGAACUGAGACACGGUCCAAACUCCUACGGGAGGCAGCAGUGAGGAAUAUUGGUCAAUGGGCGAGAGCCUGAACCAGCCAAGUAGCGUGAAGGAUGACUGCCCUAUGGGUUGUAAACUUCUUUUAUAAAGGAAUAAAGUCGGGUAUGCAUACCCGUUUGCAUGUACUUUAUGAAUAAGGAUCGGCUAACUCCGUGCCAGCAGCCGCGGUAAUACGGAGGAUCCGAGCGUUAUCCGGAUUUAUUGGGUUUAAAGGGAGCGUAGAUGGAUGUUUAAGUCAGUUGUGAAAGUUUGCGGCUCAACCGUAAAAUUGCAGUUGAUACUGGAUAUCUUGAGUGCAGUUGAGGCAGGCGGAAUUCGUGGUGUAGCGGUGAAAUGCUUAGAUAUCACGAAGAACUCCGAUUGCGAAGGCAGCCUGCUAAGCUGCAACUGACAUUGAGGCUCGAAAGUGUGGGUAUCAAACAGGAUUAGAUACCCUGGUAGUCCACACGGUAAACGAUGAAUACUCGCUGUUUGCGAUAUACUGCAAGCGGCCAAGCGAAAGCGUUAAGUAUUCCACCUGGGGAGUACGCCGGCAACGGUGAAACUCAAAGGAAUUGACGGGGGCCCGCACAAGCGGAGGAACAUGUGGUUUAAUUCGAUGAUACGCGAGGAACCUUACCCGGGCUUAAAUUGCAGAUGAAUUACGGUGAAAGCCGUAAGCCGCAAGGCAUCUGUGAAGGUGCUGCAUGGUUGUCGUCAGCUCGUGCCGUGAGGUGUCGGCUUAAGUGCCAUAACGAGCGCAACCCUUGUUGUCAGUUACUAACAGGUUCCGCUGAGGACUCUGACAAGACUGCCAUCGUAAGAUGUGAGGAAGGUGGGGAUGACGUCAAAUCAGCACGGCCCUUACGUCCGGGGCUACACACGUGUUACAAUGGGGGGUACAGAGGGCCGCUACCACGCGAGUGGAUGCCAAUCCCCAAAACCUCUCUCAGUUCGGACUGGAGUCUGCAACCCGACUCCACGAAGCUGGAUUCGCUAGUAAUCGCGCAUCAGCCACGGCGCGGUGAAUACGUUCCCGGGCCUUGUACACACCGCCCGUCAAGCCAUGGGAGCCGGGGGUACCUGAAGUGCGUAACCGCGAGGAGCGCCCUAGGGUAAAACUGGUGACUGGGGCUAAGUCGUAACAAGGUAACC